rnacentral:rRNA from 1 species
CCUUUCCUUGCCUAAUCCGCCUAUAUACCGCCGUCGUCAGCUUACUCUGUGAAGAUCCCGUAGUAAGCAUAAUCGGCACAGCCUAAAACGUCAGGUCGAGGUGUAGCGAAUGGAAAGGGAAGAAAUGGGCUACAUUCAAUAACUUAUAAUGAAUACGAAUGGCACCCUGAAAAAAGUGCCUGAAGGAGGAUUUAGUAGUAAGCAGAGAGUAGAGUGCUCUGCUGAAAUUGGCCCUGAAGCGCGUACACACCGCCCGUCACUCUCCCCGAGCUAACACAGACAUUUCUUAAAAAGUAAAAACUGCAAAGGGGAGGCAAGUCGUAACAUGGUAAGUGUACCGGAAGGUGCGCUUGGAAAAACU